GUCAUCCCCAUGCUGUGACAGUGACAUGGGGACCCCAAAAUUGUGGCAGCGUCACUGUGGGACCCUCGUGCUGGAUCUGUGUCACCCCCAGGUUGUGACAGUGACAUUGGGACCCCCAAAUGGUGGCAGUGUCAUUGUGGGAGCCCCAAGUUGUGCUUCUGUCACCCCCAGGUUGUGACAGUGACAUGGGGACCCCAAAAUUGCAGUUGUGUCACUGUGGGACCCCCGUGCUGGGCCUGUGUCACCCCAAUGUUGUGACAGUGACAUUGGGACCCCCAAUUUGUGGCAGUGUCAUU